rnacentral:lncRNA from 1 species
CAACUUCCAACUGACGAACAUCCACAGCUCCGCGGCCCAGUGACAAACACCAUCUAACAGAUAAGGUUUCUGAAAAGUCAAAGCCAAUACUGCUUCCAUUGAAAAUUUAAUGCCGGCUCCAUCUUUGCCCAUCAUUCUUCCGACUGUUCCAUGUUUCCCAAGAGGCCCUUGAAGCUAAAGCACUGCUCUAUAACAGGUACUGAGAUCCUUCCACCAGCCAGUCUAAACCCUAUGGUCUCAACACGCAAUGCCCUAACCAUCUCUCUACCUACAGAGCCUCUCAAGCUUCCAGCUCCAGUUGCACUGGACACCCUCACAGCCCUUCUGCAGAGCUGGGAAUGGCCACAUCCUGCAGGCCCACUCAUGUCCCUGCAAGAAUCCUGAUGUUGGGAGAGAAAGCAUGCAUGUUCCCUCCUUUGCUGCUCCCCAAAGGAAAGGCCACCUGCAGCCUUAUAUUUGCUAGAAACUCGUGCUGAGCAUCUGA